GUUCCAGCAGCCGCGGUAAUACGGAGGAUCCGAGCGUUAUCCGGAUUUAUUGGGUUUAAAGGGUGCGUAGGCGGUCUUUUAAGUCAGUGGUGAAAGUUUGCGGCUCAACCGUAAAAUUGCCAUUGAAACUGAAGGACUUGAGUACAAAUGAGGUAGGCGGAAUGUGUUGUGUAGCGGUGAAAUGCAUAGAUAUAACACAGAACACCAAUUGCGAAGGCAGCUUACUGGGAUGUAACUGACGCUGAGGCACGAAAGCGUGGGGAUCAAACAGGAUUAGAUACCCGCGUAGUCC
rnacentral:rRNA from 1 species